GAAAGUGCUGCUAAUACCGGAUGAAGUCAUCGGGCCGCAUGACCUGAUGACCAAAGGUGGGGACCUUCGGGCCUGCCAGUCUGGGAGCGGUUCAUGUCCUAUCAGCUUGUUGGUGAGGUAACGGCUCACCAAGGCUGCGACGGGUAGCGGGACUGAGAGGUUGGCCCGCCACAUCGGGACUGAGACACUGCCCGGACACCUACGGGUGGCUGCAGUAACGAAUAUUGGGCAAUGGGCGCAAGCCUGACCCAGCAAUGCCGCGUGCAGGAGGAAGCCCCUCGGGGUGUAAACUGCUGUCAGGGGUUAGCAAGCAACGGGUGUAAAUAGCACCCUGCGUUGAGCAGCCCCAGAGGAAGCCUCGACUAACUCUGUGCCAGCAGUCGCGGUAAGACAGAGGAGGCAAGCGUUGUUCGGAAUCACUGGGCUUAAAGCGGGUGUAGGCGGUUUGUCAAGUGUCCUGUGAAAGCCCACGGCUCAACCGUGGAAUUGCAGGGCAAACUGGCAGGCUUGAGGUCGGUAGGGGUGCCUGGAACUCUAGGUGGAGCGGUGAAAUGCGUAGAUAUCUAGAGGAACGCCGGAGGCGAAAGCGGGGCACUGGGCCGAUUCUGACGCUGAGACCCGAAAGCGUGGGGAGCAAACAGGAUUAGAUACCCUGGUAGUCCACGCCGUAAACGAAUGCACACUAGACGUCGGAGGUUCUGAACACCAUCGGCGUUGGAGCAAAAGUAUUAAGUGUGCCCGCCUGGGGGAGUACGGCCGCAAGGCUAAAACUCAAAGGAAUUGACGGGGGCUCAC
rnacentral:rRNA from 1 species